CUGCUAAUAUUAACAACUUAUUACCGGUCAUUCCUAGAGCACGUGGCAAAGGGCUUGGUGGUUGAUACCCGAGACCCAAGCUCGAAUCCUAGUUGAUUCACAUUUUCAGCUAAGUUUAUUUCUAAAUGAAAAAAACGAAGCAGGUAGCGUGCUAUCUAUCUUUCAAAAAAAAAAAAUUAUUAACAACUUAUUUAGCCAAUUGAAGCACGACAAACUCUU
rnacentral:lncRNA from 1 species